GUGGCUGCUGUUGACCACCGUAUCCAGUUUGAGUCGGUGGUGCUCCAUAAGGUGGGGGACCGUACCCUGGCUGAGAUGUCAGAUAACCUGAUGAUGGUCGCUGGGUACCAGAAUCUGUCUGGGGAUAACCUGGCUGAGUAGGUGGAGGCUGAGAGUGAGCAUAGCUAGGCUGAACUGGAGGCUGAGAAUACCCUCCUUGGGCACUUGGUGACUGCUGUGGCUGCCCAUAAGCUGGCUGACUACUCGGAAGUUUUUGACCUUGAGGUGGUCCAUAGCCUGCCGGCGGUUGGGUUCCAUAAGCACCCUGCGAAGUUGGGG
rnacentral:lncRNA from 1 species